AAUUUAGAAACAACACCAUUUUUGCGAACUACAUAUUUACAUACAUACAUUUCCUCAUAACUUUUGCUUUUAAACAUUUAAUUUCUCAUGAAAAAAUAUUACAAUUUCAAUUUCUCCCAACGCCUAUGCGCUUAUCGCACAACUUAUAGCUGACGCUUUCAAAUGUUUUUACAUCCAAAAAUGCAGCACGCCCGCAUUUAGCGCACCAAGGCGCCUAACCAUCAGUUGUGCUGUUUUUGUUGCUGUCUUCUUUUAUUUUAUUCUUUGAAUACGAUAAAAAUAUACAUAAUAAAAAAAAAAUAAAAGAAAAUAAAAUAAAUAUAAAAUUCAUCAAAACAAUAUUUGCGGCUUUUACAGUGAAAAUAUGAAUUGUUGCUCCAGGGUUUAGGGGCAACGGUAAAAAUUGGUGACGGCGGCGAUAUCGCUUUGCGGUUGCAUUUAGUGCUUACAAAAAGGCGAUAAGAAAUAUAAAAAUAAACAAAAAACAACAAAACAAUGGGGGGUGGGGGGUUAGGGACCGCUGCAUCGGGCUGCAAUUGCGCCAGCGAUCGCCAACGAUCAGUGGCGCUUUGUGGCUCGCUGGCUGGUUGGCCGAUGAUGGCAUUUAGCUGGCGGCUGCUUGACUUUUGCUGGCGACUGGUGGUGGCGGCCAUUUGGUUGGUGAUGACUACUGAGCUAGCUGGCUGGCUGCCUGGUGGCUAGAAACCCGAAGUGCACUGAACGAAUAAGAGCGCGCGCGCAUCCAACAAAGUAAAGUCGGUGACGUCGUGUUUUGAUAUUGACUUUGAAGCAGUCCGAAAGUUAAGAGCAUAAUCGAGCAAAAGUAAA